ensembl:snoRNA
AUCCGUUUGUAGUUCAUGAGCAUAAUGAUUGGGUAUUCACGUGCAUGUGUGAGAUGUGCCACCCUCAGACCUUGUUACAGCAUCAGCACAUUGCUCAUCCAACA